AGUCAACCGAACCGGUGCGGGCGAUAGAAAAAAAGAACGCAGCCUUCCAAUCCCGUCUCCACCUCCGGUGCACCGCCACCCCCUGCCCUGCCGCCGCGCACCGGUCUGGCGCGCGUGGACAUGGUGCCCGACGGGGGAGGGGAGUGCCGCAUCGCAAGUCUCGCGCCGGCGGGCUGCGCGCUCCUCGAGCGGUUGGAGGCGGCGUGGCUGCUCGACGCAGAACGAACGCGGUGGCCGGAGCUUGCAGGGGAUGGAUUCGUGUGCGACAGGGGCAGGGGAGGCGGAUCUGGAGGCUUUCGGCGAGGCGGGGUUCGCCUGUGACGAGGAGGAUGGCCGGAGUGCGGCUUCCUGAGAGGAUCCAUAGCAUCCGCGGCUCCAGGACAAAAAGGAGACACGGUGGUGAGGGAGAUAACAAGGGAGAAAGGAGGGGCGGUGCGAUGACCUUGGCCGGAGCUCACCGGUGUCCGGAAACGGCAGACGGGCGCCACUGCUACUGCAUCCAUGGUAUUCCUCCUCUCACCUCUCCUGCCUUAAUGACAUCUGUUGCGUCGCCAAAGCCUUGGCCGCACAUCACCAGCAUCUCCGGCCUCGAGUACUCCUGCCACUGCACCCAGAGGCCCGUCGCCAUGACCGGAUCCAGUAUGGUUCCUCUAAUGCCCGCCCUCUCCCUCAUGGCACAUGUGCUAUUUUACUCGGAAAGGCCAUUGCUCACACUUUGAAUUUUGGCAUCAACUUUGUUGUCGUGCUUCAUUUCUUUGCUGGAAGAACCUCAAUUGUUUCUUUGCUUCGGUUGUUCUUCAAUCUUAGCUCUCAGUUCUCAACAUAUGCAUUACAAUAUGUUUGUUGUCUGUAGGGAUGGAGUGAAGAAAUUGGAUUGGGGUCAUGGAAUAAAUCAACUAGGGGAUGCAACUCAUGUUCUUGUAGGUGGUCAUUCAGACAUUUCUUAACUCUGUUGCAAAAUCAGCUGCCACAGCUCCGCGCUACCGGUCAUGGAAACCUCUCAUGUAUCCCCUCUUGUCGCUUCUCACCAGCAGCGUCUCUACGCUGUGGCAGCGGCUAUCCCGCCCGAUGAUUGAAGCUGCUGCUCCUGAUCUAUUGUGUCUGGGCAAUCCCAGCCACUCCUCCCUAGCAAACUUGUGCUCUUCCUUCGGCUUGCCUUCCAUAGGGUCUGGCACCGCUUCAAUUAUAAUCUGCAGGACAUACACAAGUUGCAGACAAAUCGAUUGAAAUAAUGUGCUAAGCCUUGGGCUCCAUUGCCACUUUGUCAGCUUGUUGAUAUUAGAGGGAGGAUCAAAGGGGUGAUUGGUACUUUCCCUUACAGCAGCCGGUGAAAAGCAACGAAUUUUCUCAACCAAUGAUGCUUUCUCUGUGGUGUCCAGGUUAUGAACUCCUACAAUUUUAGGUGUACUACAAUCCAGGAAUGCAGCAGGCCAGAACAAUGGACAAUGAUUGUACUAUGAGUGGCUAGGUAUUGGCCUACCGUGGCAAGAUGCCGGUGACUCUAUGAGGUGUGUAAAAUAUGGAUCUGUAAAUGUCCCAGGUUGCCUUGGGGGCCAAAUGCCGCAAACAGGUCAAGUGACAUAGAACAAUCCUGUAACUUUGAAGACACCUCCAGAUGUUGUGAUUCUGCAAAUUAUCUGGAUCUUCUUAUAUGCCAGAAGCUAAGGUCCAUUGUCCCUCAACACAGUCUCCCUGAAAUACAAAUUCCAGCUUUAAAGUGUGGCAAUGACGCAAAUUCCUGAAGGACACGUUCGUCAGGCUUGACCUGACCCUCUCUGACGCCACCUUGCCGCCUCUGUUGCUGGAGAUCAGCCGAAAGAGUUAGCUUGUAGCCGCUUUGUUUCAAUGGUUGCUCAAUGCUCUUCGACUCUCCAUAAUGAGCAGUUGAUGGUGCUUGGACGAAACAAUUGAUCGGAAAAUGGGUAGUGUUGUACUGGUGGUCUUGUGUCCGCCCACUAACUGUAAGACACCUAAGAUGAUUCUUCAGGACUUGAUACAUUCCGAUUACUCAUUUGGGUCUUCUUCUUACUCUUA